rnacentral:lncRNA from 1 species
AGUAAAGGCCUGAGUAAAUUGUAUGAAUAUAUUCUAAAAUACGUACGUAAAAAACAAAAAUAAAAAGGCCGCGGGCCUCUUCCAAACAAAAGUAUGGACAUUCGUUAUGGGUGGGGGCGGGUUUUUAACCGAGUUCGCGGGACCUGCGAGCCGCACCGCGCUUAGGUCCCGGGCUGUGAGCGCGGGACCAGGACGGGCGUCCGCUCGCGGGAUGAGCACGACUCACCGGCCAAGGGGAGAGACCAGAAGGAAGCUGAAAUGAAAACCGGCACAUUUGGGAAUCGAAUCUAAUUGUUCAGACCCAAGAAAAGCAGGAUGGAAGUCAAUGUCAUCUAUGGCCACGCGUUUGCGGCCGGCAGCACCCCCACUUCUGCACUAGUGCUUGCGUCCACGUUGCGCCUCCGGCUUAGGACAGAACCACAGUGUGUCGCACUGAUCUGUGAUCCGUAACUCCUCGUGUUCUGAGUCAUCUCCCCUACGCGAGCUUGCAGGUAAAAGCCAUGCAGGCAGGUGGCUUCUCCCUG